rnacentral:rRNA from 1 species
UGCUAAGCGUAUACGGGCGCACGACGGAUGCCUUGGCAUCAGGAGGCGAAGAAGGACGCGGAAGACUGCGACAAGCCCCGGGGAGCCGUCAACAGGCUUUGAUCCGGGGGUUUCCGAAUGGGGCAACCCGGCCGCCUUAAUCGGCGGCCGUCCAGGGAUGAACACAUAGUCCUUGGAAGCUACACUCAGGGAAGUGAAACAUCUCAGUACCUGAAGGAGAAGAGAUCAAACGACAUUGCGCGAGUAGUGGCGAGCGAAAGCGCAGGAGCCCAAACCGGGGGGCAUGCUCCCCGGGGUUGCGGGACCGGGUCGUGGCACCGGGAAGGAUAGGAGAACCGGCUGGAAAGCCGGGCCGCAGCGGGUGAAAGCCCCUUAUCCGAAAUCCCGACCGGGCCUACCGGGAUCCCAAUUAGGGCGGAGCACGUGAAACUCCGCCCGAAUCCGGGGGGACCACCCUCCAAGGCUGAACACUACCUGAUGACCGCUCGCGAACCAGUACCGCGAGGGAAAGGCGAAAAGAACCGCUGCUAGCGGAGUGAAACAGACCUGAAAUCGUGCGUCCACAAGCUAUGGGAGCGUCCUUCGGGACGCGACCGUUUGCCUUUUGCAUAAUGAGUCCGCGAGUCACCGUAGCCGGCAAGGCUAACCGAAAGGGGAGCCGAAGCGAAAGCGAGUCCGAACAGGGCGCUCUAGUCGGUUGCGGUGGACCCGAAGCCCAUGCGAGCUAUCCUUGGACAGCGUGAAGCCUCCGUAACAGGAGGUGGAGGUGCGAACGAGUGACCGUUGAAAAGGUCUUCGAUGAGCUGAGGAUAGGAGCGAAAGACUUAUCAAGCUGGG